rnacentral:rRNA from 1 species
GAUGAACGCUAGCGAUAGGCCUAACACAUGCAAGUCGAGGGGCAGCAUAGAGUAGCAAUACUUUGAUGGCGACCGGCGCACGGGUGAGUAACACGUAUGCAACCUACCUACAUCAGGGGAAUAACCCGGAGAAAUUCGGACUAAUACCGCAUAAUACAGGGAUGCCGCAUGGCAAUAUUUGUUAAAGAUUUAUCGGAUGUAGAUGGGCAUGCGUUCCAUUAGCUAGUUGGUGAGGUAACGGCUCACCAAGGCAACGAUGGAUAGGGGAACUGGGAGGGUUGUCCCACACACUGGAACUGAGGCACGGACCAGACACCAACGGGAGGCAGCAGUGAGUAAUAUUGGUCAAUGGACGAGAGUCUGAACCAGCCAAAUCGCGUGAAGGAAGACUGCUCUACGGGUUGUAAACUUCUUUUGUACAGGAAUAAAAGACAGUGCGUGUAUGUAUUGCAUGUGCUGUACGAAUAGACAUCGGCUAACUACGUGCCAGCAGCCGCCGUAA